rnacentral:rRNA from 1 species
CAGUCGCCGCGGUAAUACGAAGGGGGCUAGCGUUGUUCGGAUUUACUGGGCGUAAAGCGCACGUAGGCGGACUUUUAAGUCAGGGGUGAAAUCCCGGGGCUCAACCCCGGAACUGCCUUUGAUACUGGGAGUCUUGAGUUCGAGAGAGGUGAGUGGAGUUGCGAGUGUAGAGGUGAGAUUCGUAGAUAUUCGCAAGAACACCAGUGGCGAAGGCGGCUCACUGGCCCGGUACUGACGCUGAGGCGCGAAAGCGUGGGGAGCAAACAGGAUUAGAUACCCCAGUAGUCCCUGUCUCUUAUAA